AUGGAUCUGGAACCGGCCGUGCUCAUUCCCGCGGUUCUUUUCACCUUCGUGGCUCUGGUUUUUGCUUCCUCGCUCCUCGGUAGGAAGACCGACUCCUCGUCCUCUUCAGGCGGGACCAAAAAGCCCAAAGUCGGCUACGGAGAUGAGGCUCCUCCGUCCAGAGCGCUGGGAGAACCGCUCCGGUCCCCGGGACCAGAGCCACCGGCUCCGGAGGAAAAGAACCGAGAGUCGGAGGUGAAGGCUGCUCCUGUGACCGCACCAGAACCCGUCUCAGUACAAGAACCAGAACCAGCACAGAAACCUAUUCCAGUACCAGAACCUGCUGCAGAACCAGAACCGCCACGGAAACCUAUUCCAGUACCAGAACCUGCUGCAGAACCAGAACCGCCACGGAAACCUAUUCCAGUACCAGAACCAGUACAAGAACCAGAACCUGCUGCAGAACUAGAACCGCCACGGAAACCUAUUCCAGUACCAGUACCAGAACAUGCUGCAAAACCAGAACCAGCACCGGAACAUGUGAUGGUACUCAAACCUGUUACAAAGCCAGCUAAUCCAGAUAAAGCACUAGAACCGGCUCCAGAACCAGUUAAAGGUCCAGAAAAUGUCCCUGAAAAAGUAAUUGCGCCAGAACCUGACCCUGAACCAGUUCCAGAACCAUCAUUGGAGCCAGCUGUAGAAUCUGUACCUGAACCUGUUCUAGAGUCGGAUCCGGUUGCUGAUCCAGAACCAGAAGUAAUGUCCGAACCAGUACCUGAAGUGGUUCAACAGCAUGUGACCGAACCAGAACCAGAGAACGCUGACGAUUCUGCACCUGGACCAGUUCCUGAAUCACCCAAACCUGCUGAAGAGGUGUCCAAAGAACCAGAACCAGAGGUCGUCCUGGCCGAUGUGGCUGCAGCUGGCGAGGAGCUGAUGAAACCCGCCCAGCUGGAGACGCUGUUGAUGAAGGAGGUGAAGGAGGAGCAGAGGUUCCAGCAGGAACAGCUGGAGGCCAUGUUCCUGCUGCUACGACAGAACCGGGUCGGUGAUGGGUUGGUGACAGACGGAGGAGCUGAAGCUCUUCAGAGAGACACCAACUGA
ensembl:lncRNA